rnacentral:rRNA from 1 species
GAUGAGCGCUGGCGGCGUGCCUAAUACAUGCAAGUCGAGCGAACGGACGAGAAGCUUGCUUCUCUGAUGUUAGCGGCGGACGGGUGAGUAACACGUGGAUAACCUACCUAUAAGACUGGGAUAACUUCGGGAAACCGGAGCUAAUACCGGAUGAUAUUUUGAACCGCAUGGUUCAAAAGUGAAAGACGGUCUUGCUGUCACUUAUAGAUGGAUCCGCGCUGCAUUAGCUAGUUGGUAAGGUAACGGCUUACCAAGGCAACGAUGCAUAGCCGACCUGAGAGGGUGAUCGGCCACACUGGAACUGAGACACGGUCCAGACUCCUACGGGAGGCAGCAGUAGGGAAUCUUCCGCAAUGGGCGAAAGCCUGACGGUGCAACGCCGCGUGAGUGAUGAAGGUCUUCGGAUCGUAAAACUCUGUUAUUAGGGAAGAACAUAUGUGUAAGUAACUGUGCACAUCUUGACGGUACCUAAUCAGAAAGCCACGGCUAACUACGUG